CCUGAAACUUAGCUGAAUUUUGAUCAUGUAGUUAAUUGUGUGUUUGUUUCUGCUUUUGAGAACUUGAUUCUAGGGAGAACUAAUUCUGUCAUCGUUGAUAUUAUUGGCAUUGAUUUUUGGAGUAAAGAGAUCUAUGUUUGGUAGAUUGAGAUUCUCUAACAGUGAUUACGACAGAAAGUAUAAGAAUUUCAUUUCUCCCAUGACCAAUUAUCGAAGGUAGAAUUAAUUCUAAGUUGUGCAACAAGUAACCAAGUUGGGUUGGUUUAGUGGUUAGCUCAUUAGUCCACUUAAGCAACUCUGAUCCGCGACGAAUUAGUCUUUGACUUGUUGGGGGAUACCGAGGGAAAUAAAAAAAAAGUUGUG